rnacentral:lncRNA from 1 species
GUGUUUUGAAUUCAUUCAGAAAGUUUUUGGAUAUAGUUGUCACUGAUGCCAAGAAAGUUAAAUUUGGUAGGAUAAGAGAUUUAAUUACUGUUAUUUUACCUAUCAUUGUAAGAUUUCUUCUGUUCCAGCUAUUGAUUGCAUCUUGAGACUUUCUUAAAAUUCUUUCUGUAUUUAAUCUGUCGCAUUCAUCUUUGUUAAGUCCAAA